UACACAACACUAUGCAAAGCGAAUCACAAAUCGAUAACGUCAAACAAUCGGAACUUCUAACUCAUGAACAAAAUAAACAGCUGUAACAACUAUGAACAUAUCGGGCCCUGGUUUCGGACCCAGCGUACCCGCCCUACCAUGAGACGAUCACCUACACUCGUCUCCCUCAUUUGCCAUUAGAUGGCCAUCAGCCUGUGGCGGCUGUAAUGCCAACUCUCCCCAUCAAAGAAAAUUUAGACGGACAUUUCUCUCUUCAGAUACGGCAUGUUAUCUUCAAGCUGUUAUUGAUAAUUUCGUACUCGCGAACAUUUCCGGCGUUUUAAGCCAGGUGCAUACGAUAUUCUUAUAUUUAGAAUAAUGGAUAUAAGUUUGAAAUUUAAAUUUUCUUCCAUCUUUCAACUUCGAUUCAACAGUUAUCUAUAACGCUUUGCAUCAUUUCAUAUUUCUAACAAUU